GUGGGCCACCUCUCCUCUCUGCCUCCAGCCCUACCUUGAAAGCCCCGCUCAUCUCCUCUCCCUGCACUCCCUCCAGGGACUCUUCUCAGCCCCAGAUCUCCACUAGUUCCUUUCUCUCAUCGUGUUCAUGCCUGUCUUGUGCCAGGCCUUGUGUACAAGCUGAGACCCACCAUGAGCUGUUCAGACGUGGCUGGCGCCUAGGCAGGCUCCCAGUGCAGAGGGGAGCAGGUGAGUAACCAGGUGUCACUGCUCCUGAGGUCUGCUACUCACCUCACAGCCCGUGGGUACCUUGCAAAAUUAGGACAAGCCGUUCCUUUCUCCAAACACAUAGCAAGUCCCAUCACAAUGUGCACCUGUGACAACCCUGAAUGUGAGCUGCAUUCUGUGUACAGCCUCCACAGCUGCAGUGGAGACCUAAGGAAGGGACAUAUAGGUCAGGGGUCCAUCCAAGCCUGGGGGAGGGUCAGCUAGGCUUCCCACUGGAGGACACCUCUGCAAAGGGCCGCCUUAGCCAUUCCUUUGUGAUAAUGAUAGCAGAGGGUUCUGUGCCCUUGUCCACAUGUGGGUGUUUACAGAGGAAAGUCAGUAAGGAGCAUCUGUGAUGGUUGCUCCUUAUAUAAAGGAGCAUCCUCAGUUCUUGGGCCACUGUCAGGAGCAUACUCUAGAGCUGGAUUUGAACUUGGAGACCAGAAUUCUAUCUGCUCCAAAACUAUCAAGUUAUUCUGCCGCCCAGUUCUCCAGGAUGGGCUGGCAAGUGGUUUCAAAAGUAAACACAGCAGAGUCUUUUAUUUUUUUUAAGCAAUGUUAGAUGUUUCCUGUUCCAAAGUGUGCACCACAGCCCCUGGGCUCCGUGCCUGACUUUCUCCAGGGCAGACAUCUGGAGGAUGACUCAGGGACCCACACAAAGAGCUGUCUGCAGCCUGGACCCUACAACCCUGGGCACCCCAGUGGGACACCCCAAAAGAGCAGAAUGGCACGAGGAUGGAAAGGCCCCAACUGUGGGUUCUCCUUGCCUGGCUCUUCAUCCAAAAAAUUGAAAGCAGCAAAGGACCCACAAGAUUACUGUCAUGAGCCCCCAACCCUCCUGUUACAGAGGGAGAGAGCAACUGAAGCCAGAGUGGAGAAAGGAUCCUGUGUGGGCUGA
rnacentral:lncRNA from 1 species